rnacentral:lncRNA from 1 species
AUUAAAGAGGAACAUCAUGUAGUGUGAGGAGUCAACAUUUCACACUAGAAAGCCCUUGGUUCAAAUCUUGUCUCUGCCACCUACAGAUUUUGUAACCCUGAGGAAGCUAGCUACCUCUUUAUGUACUGCCCUAUGGAGGGGCACACAUGUCAAGAAACGGAGGGAAUGCCUUCCAGUCACCAGCCAGCCAGGAACUAAGGUGCUCAGUACAGUAGCCUCCACAAAGGACUGAAUAAUGCCAACAGCUAUUUGAUUGUGCUUGGAAGAUCUCCAUUUAGUUGAGCCUUCAGAUGAGACCACAGCCCUGGCCAGCAAACAAAUUGCAGCCUAUGGAAAGACCUUAAGGCAGAAGCACCCAACUGAACCAACUGAGGGCUCUGACUUACAGAAACUGUGAGCAUAUAGUGAAAUGGCCUUUACCUUAUUUUGAAUGGAUUUCUGGGAUAAAGUUCUUCAGUGACAACAUGUUUGAAGCAGCUACUUAUGUGCCCAUGUUACAUGCUCAUGAUAAAGCUGCAUUUCCUGAGGGGACACCAUUGGAUACACCAUUGGAUACA